rnacentral:rRNA from 1 species
CGCCUUUUGUUAAAAUAUAAAAGGUCCAGCCUGCCCAGUGAUAAAAUUCAACGGCCAUGGUAUUAUGACCAUGCGAAGGUAGCAUAAUCACUUGUUCUUUAAAUGAGGACUAGUAUCAACGGCACCACGAGGGCUAAACUGUCUCCUUUCUCCAAUCAGUGAAACUGAUCUUCCCGUGAAGAAGCGGGAAUAACUUUAUAAGACGAGAAGACCCCAUGGAGCUUUAAAUUUAUUAAUUCACCUCUUAAAACGCCUACAACAUUACACCAACUGAGCACUGAAUUUUAAUUUUAGGUUGGGGUGACCACGGAGUAAAAUUUAACCUCCACGAUGAAAGGCCACUGCCUAAUUUAAGAGUAACCACUCUAAAAAUCAACCACUUGACACUCUAUGAUCCAAUUAUUAUUGAUCAACGAACCAAGUUACCCUGGGGAUAACAGCGCAAUCCAUUUAGAGAGCUCCUAUCGACAAAUGGGAUUACGACCUCGAUGUUGGAUCAGGGUAUCCUAGUGGUGCAGCCGCUACUAACGGUUCGUUUGUUCAACGAUUAAAACCCU